AGCGCUUAUCCAUCUUGCAGCUAGAACAUCAACUGGGUGACCAAGAAAUGUAAAAUAUGUUCCUUAUUUGUGUAUGAAUAUUUUUGCAAGACAAAUACACUUUUGACAUAUUUGUAUAUCAUAUAAUCAUAUUUUUGUUAUGGUUCAAUUCUCUAUUCAGUCGGCUUAAAGUUAAUGUUCUAGCUGCAAGAUGGAUAAGCGCU
rnacentral:misc_RNA from 1 species